AUCGGAGCAGAGUGAAGCCAAGGAGAGCACGAAUUGGAAGAUCACACUGAAAUAUCAGUUUCAUCUAACAGAGCAAAGAUGCAGUGGAGUCUGUUUCUGCUCCUUCUGAUGGGUCAGUGUUCCUUCUUCAUGUGUCACCUCCAUGAGUACCACUUUGUUGAAGAGAAGAAGAACUGGACUGAAGCCCAGCAGUACUGCAGAGAGCAUCACACUGACCUGGCCACAGUGUCUAACAUGACAGACAUGGAGAGACUCCGUGACUCUGCACAGAAUCAAGAUGGAGCCUGGAUUGGGCUUUACAGCACCGCAGGAGAAGACAACAGGAUGUGGCACUGGUCUCUGCCAGGAGUGGAGUUCAAUGAUACUAAUACAAAAUGGGCUCCAGAUGAACCAAAUGAUAAACCAUCUCCUGCAAACUGUGUGUGUAUAUAUGAAAACUCAUGGCGGGACUUCCAUUGUACCAGGCAUAGGCAUGCCUUCAUCUGCUACGAUGAAAGGAGGCAAUCCAACAAGACAUUCCAUCUGAUUAAAGACAAGAUGAGCUGGCCACAGGCUCAGAACUACUGCAGAGAACAUCACACUGACCUGGUCAGUGGAGACCAACAGUUAGAGGACAACGAAUUCAAGACAGAGAUUAAGUCACAGAAGGAGGUGUGGAUCGGCCUGUUCAGAGACUCCUGGAGGUGGUCAGAUGGGAGCAAUUCCUCUUUCAGAUACUGGGAUCUGGAGUCAGAUAACGAUUAUCAUCACAAUAGAUGUGCCAUGAUUAAGUCAAAUGGAAAAUGGAGAGCAGACAAAUGUGACCAUAAAAAACCCUUCUUCUGCUAUAAUGCCUCUGUUUCAGGAACAACCACAAAGAAAGGAACAACAGCAGGUCCCUCAUCAUCCACUGUUACUGAGGACAAGACACAAGAUAAAAUGAUCCUGAUCAAGGAGAACAUGACCUGGGAGGACGCCUUAUAUUACUGCGAAGAGAAACACCAUGACCUGGUCUCCAUCACCAACCCUGACGAGCAGAAACAGGUCCAAGAGAAAGCCAAGAAGGCCAACAGUCCCUACGUCUGGCUGGGACUGCGCUACACCUGCACUCUGGGUUUCUGGUUCUGGAUCGAUGACAAGAUGGUCACCUAUAAGAACUGGGACACAGAUGUACCAGCGGAUGACUGUGACAUGUCUGGAGCCAUGGACAGAGGAGGAGAACAUAAGUGGUUCAAAAAGAAUGACAAUGAGAAGUUUAAUUUCAUCUGUUCUACGUGCCAAACCCUCUAUACUCACUGUUAGCAGGCCUUUGAUUCAUUUACUCACUUUGUUUGCAGUGCUGUGUUACUUUUGGAAACAUUUACACUAUAAGAUGUGUUUGUUGAACGGCAUUCUGGGACAUGUAGUAAUCCCAACCUGAGGGGGAGAGAUGUGAAAUCACCAGCAGACUUUUUAACAGCAGAUUUAAAUAGAGAGAAAGUAGCUACAUUGAAGUCAGUUUCAAAGCAGCAUCAGAUUACUGAGGAUGUGACCCUGUGAUGGGUUUUUCUGUCUCUUUAUUCUGAUUCAACAACACCUGAGUUAUCAAUAUUUGUCAUUUUCUGAGCUUGUUGUUGUUAUAUUUUAUUUCUCUAUCUUUAAUUCAUCUUUUGAGGUUGUAUUUAGUUUUCUGUAUAAUUCACAGUGUGUAUGGUCGACAUCUUUAUGGUAGGAACUGGAAUGAAUACACCAGUCUACAGUGUACUGGUUUGAUUUUGCUCUCAUGUAUUCAAAUGUGGAACAUUUUA